rnacentral:rRNA from 1 species
GCCGUGUGAACUGCAGGACAUACGAACAUCGACACUUUGAAUGCAUAUUGCGGAUUUGAGCUUGUCUCAGAUCCAUACCUGGCUCAGGGUCGGUUUAACAUCCAUCAGGCUCACUUGUGUGUGCCUGCAUUGGGCAGUUGUUUUGCCAAUGGCAGAGCAGUGCCUCAAGUUUUGUCGUGCAGAUUACACCGACUCGACUCUUGGGAGAGAUCCUGGGUUGUUGUCGAUGGCUGCAUGUGCAUGGUGCCUUGGCUUUUGMAUUAGCCUUUGUGUGCACCGCCUCUUUCACUUUCGACCUGAGAUUAGGUAAGAUUACCCGCCGAAUUUAAGCAUAUUAAUAAGCGGAGGAAAAGAAAACAACUGUGAUUCCCUUAGUAAUGGCGAAUGAAACGGGAAUAGCCCAGCGCAGAACUGCAGAUCACCUUGGUCUUGCGGAAUGUUGCGUUUGGGAGAGUCUUCUCGAGGACUGGACGGCCAGUCAAAGUCCAACUUGACUGUGGSCA